AUGCUCUUGCCUUGGGCUGCAGAAAUGUUAGCGCAGGCCUGGAAGCAAGGCACAGAGAUGGUUCUGAGCCGACAGAAGAGAGACAGAAAGGUCCAGAGGUGUAAAUUGGGAAUCCAAUCACAAGCAGGCGUAAGGCAGCCAAGAAGGAUGAGCCAGUGAUCUCUGUAGUCUGCCCAUAACUCCACACAAAACUUUACCCAUUGUCACAGGAGAGUAUAAGCACAGCAUAAAGAUCCUCAUAGAUGGACUUUCAGCUCCGUGCUUAAAGCAACUGACAAGAAUCCAUUUCUUUUCAGCGUACAAGUGAAGGGUAAAAGACAGAGAAGGAAGAUAGAGCAUAGGAAAAAGAGUGGGGUGAUAUUUGUCCAUUCAUUUGUUGAAGAAAUGGUUAAAUAAAGGAAUGAAUGACUAAAGACCAGGUUGGC